AAAACGAACCACAAAUCGAUAACACCAAACAAUCGAAACUUCUAACAGAUGAACAACAUGAACAGCUGUGACGAUAAGUAAAUAUAAACAACAAAGAUCGGCCCCCGGUUCCGGACCCAGCUUACCCGCCCUACAAUGAGACGAUCACCUACUCGUCUCCCAUAUUUCGGCCAUUAGAUGGCCUGCAUCAGCCUGUGCCGGCUGUUACGCCCACUCUCCCCAUCAUCGAAAAUUUAGCCGGACAUUUCUCCCUUCAGAAUAUCUCCAAGAUGCUAUUUAUAAAUUCGUACACGCGAACAUUUCGGGAAUUUUUAACAGAAUUAAUUAGUUUGCAACGCUGAUACGGAACAGAUACGAAAAGACGACCAGAAGUUAUUGCCAGUCAACAAAAGAAAGGAAAAAAGGGGAGAGACACAGACGCAAUAUCUUUGGGCCUUUUCCUUCCCUGUUCGCACUUUCGGAAAUUUACUUAAUUUAAAAUAGUCGUCAGUUCUUUUUCAAGGAGCCUCAAAUAUGGGUCUGGCUUCGACCUCUGCCUUUUACUCGGGCGAGGGAAGGACGAUGCGGAACGGACUCACUCAGUGAUGAAGUGAACGUGGUCUCGCCUAUGGCCGCCUCUUCGUCGUUGGAGUCCCGUCCAUGAUGGCUCGUCUCGCUGUCGUGAUGGUUACGCCGAUGCUUGGCCGAGUUUAGAAAAUCUGGCUCGCGAUUCAGGCGUUGUAUGCCACCAAAAGGUUGCGGCUCUCUAAAGAAGUACCCCUUUUUUUGUUGUUUUAAACGUCGCACGACGGGGUGUUAUUGUUUUGUGUAUUUUGUUCUUGUGUACUAUUUUUACGUUAGCACUAAAAGAAUUUUCUUUGCUAUUAAAUAAUAAAGAAAGCCUCUCGUGAAUAAAUGUA